AGACUCCGUGUUUUCAAAUAAACCUGUUGGGCUAUAGCCUGGUGUCAUGCGAUUUCUGACUUCGAAAGUCUCAAGUCACGUUCUGUUAUACAGUGCUAUCAUGAGUAUGAGACCUGAACUUGCACUAGCAGAUUAACCAUUAGACAUAAUGUGACAAUUAUUAAACAUAUGUAUUUGCUAUCUUGAUUAUUAUUAGUUUAUUCUGGUUCCUGUGCAGGCCAGAUUUUUCUUAACUUGUUGUCACUCCAGAUUCUUCAAAUUUAUCACAUUCUAUUGUAUGCUUCAUAACUUUUCUGUCAAAAUGACCUAAGUAUGAAAACUGUGAGGAAAUGGGUACAUGUCUGCAACUUAUAGUGAAUUAAGGUGAAAAUAGAGAGGACAUAAACAAUUCUACCUUCAUAUUUCUGCAGGAAUUAAAAGCCUUACAUUCGAUUCUUCUAAGUCUAAACUUACAUGAAUUAUUGUUUUUAAAUAUAAAUGCUACAUUUGUGAGAAACGCCUCAGUAACAUUACCUGAAUUAGCCCCAAUAAAUUCCAUUUCAUCUUUUAUUAAAUUAAUGCUCAGUUCAAGAAAUGCAACAUACAUGGUUCAGGUAAAGUCCAUCUAAAUGAGUACACUUAAGUUACAUCUGUAUUUACCCAUGCUUCUUAAUUGGUUAUUUUCAUUUGGCAAUUUUGUACUGAGUGCCUUAGAACUUUAACCAAGAGACAGAAGUCAUAUAAUCUCCACUGUGUUGAAACAGGCCAUUCAGCCCAACAACCACACACUGACCCUCUGAAAAACAUCCUACCCAGACACAACCCUACCCUAUCUUUUUUCUGCACCUCCCAUCCAUCUAUCCUACACAUCCCUGGACACCAUGGGCAAUUUGGCAUGGCCACUCCACCUAAUCUGCACAUCUUUAAACUGGGAGGAAACCUAAGCACCCGGAGGAAACUCACGCAGACAUAUGGAAAGCAUGCAAACUCCACACAGACAGUCACCCAAGGCUGGAAUUGAACCCAAGUCCCUGGUGCUGUGAGGCAGCAGUGUUAAGCAGCAGUGAGCCACCACGUCACCCUUGGAGAGGGCACAGGAGAAACUUACUGGAAUGAAUCCAGGAAUGAGGGAAUUCCUGUUAGACGGAAUGAAGAGAGAGGUUAGUUUGUUCUCGUGGGAAAACAAAACAAAGGAUUUAAUAAAAGUUUCAAGUUCUUGAAUUAUUAUGCCUACCCAAGGAGAAACCAAGUUGACUGGCAGGUGGAUCAGUCAUCAAACUACAGACCAAAGGCAAUUGGUAAAAGAACCAAACGCAAAUGGGAAGAAUUUCCAAAACAAGCCCUGGAAUCUAAAAUACGUUGGGUGAAAGGAUAAUGGAAGUAGAUGCAGCAUUAAGUUUCAAAAGACAAUUGUAUAAGUAUUUGAUAGGAAAAUAAUAGGAAAGUGGGUCAAUUAGGUAGAUCUUUCAGAUACAAUGAGUUGUAUGGCCUCCUGUAUUAUUCUACACCUAUAACCAUAACAGUUCAGUCUCUAGGUAGGGGACCCAGGUAUACACUGAAAGAUGUAUUUCAAGAUCCCUUGAGAUUCCUUACAUGUGGGCCUCAUUGGAUAUUGUCCAAAAAAAUGCAACUUCAAAAAAUCAAUUAGCCUGCUCCCCAGGACUAUCUGUGAAAGCCACCAAAAAAGCCUUUUUUCAAGUCAGAGUCAGAGACAUGGAACAGAUCCUUCUUAUUGACCUGAAUAGCUGCCCAGGAAAUGUUAAAUAAACUAAAACCUGGUGUAACAUCGGGCUAAUUUCACAAUUGAUCCCACUUUGAUUAUCUCACCAAACUAUCUCAGCCUCCUAACCACACAGAAUACCAACACUCCCGCCACAACUAGCCCAACACUCAGUCCCUUUAGCCACAAACUCCUUUUCCAUCUACUGUAUUGGCUAUGCUCCUAAACAGCAACGUACUUCUCAAACCAGACCUGCCCGCCCAUUUUUCUACCUCAGAGUCCUCUUUGCCUAUUCAAAACAUUCAGAUUGGACAUUUAACAUAUCCUACAGCAGCUGAUGUUGUAAAAAAAACAAAUCUUGUCUGAUGAUCCCCUUUACAAAUGUUUACUUGGAUUUCUGUUCAGAAGAUGUUCUUCAGAAUGCUACAGCAAACCCUUGUAAAUGUAACCAGAUAAAGCAUGCUGUCUUUUUUCACUAGGCAGCAUCAGAAACAAAAGGAGUGAAUGUCACCAGAUUGUGGGAACCAAGGAAGAGGAGGAGUAAUUUAGCCCCUCAGGCCUGCCUCAGAGGUAAAUGCUGGAGCCAGCAGCAGCCAUAAGGGGCGUGUCCUGGAGCAGCACGUGGGCAGCGAGUCCCAGGUGGAGGCCAGAGAAGGGGAUACAGUCCUGAAACUUACCUUGAAGCAGCUGAGUGCCAGUACUGAGCGGGCUGAAGGCUUGGAGUGGAGCGAGGAUGGCUGUUAGACUGGGGCCCGGCAUGGAUGGUCAGACCACAUCUGAAAGCCCUAUGCUGAGCUCCUGCAAUGAAAUGUCUAUUUGAAAUUUUUUACCUGACUGUAAUGUCAAAUCCUUUAAUGAUGUCUUAUUUCUAACUUAAUUUUAAACUCUGUAAAUUAAUGCAACUACUUUUUAUUCCUGUUUUGAAUCCAAGAUUUGGACCUCGAUAUUAGUACCUAAGAUGGUGCCAGAAGAGGCAGACAUUACAAAAGCUUUUCACUGCACUGCUGCACUUCUCCAAUGGAGUACGUGUGACAAUAAAGGAUAUUCUAUAUUCCACUCUAGUUUAUGAAAGAAACCUACAAUAUUCUUUAAAAAAACAAUGAGUUUGUCCUGUCUUCCAGCCCUAAUAGAUCCUUUAAACAAUUCCAGGACCCAAAUUCACAUCUAAACGCUAAUCUGUUCUUCCUUAGGCCACAGCUUAUCUGUGCACAGGCUUUGCUGAAACUUGUUCACUGUGUUUCAAGGUACAUCACUUACAUAGUAACGAACAAAAGUAAAAUCCUUAUUCCUCUCACUUUCAGUGGUGGAGGUAAUUUUGUUUGAACACAUCAGACAAGAUGUCAAAGAUGGCCUGUCAGAGGUUCAGCUGUUACUCUGCUUGUAAAGUUUUCAGUCUGUGCUCUUGUGUGACUAUAAUUGCAAAGUUAAAGGAAACCUGUUUAAAAAUAUUCGCUUUUCUUUACCAAAAUAAUUAGUAACUAUUUAUCUGGGCAUACAUUAUUAUCUUUUGCCUCUGAAAAUCUCCUCUGUGGCAACUCCAAGUUGAGGGCAAUUCAAUCUCCUUCCAAUUUGUACUGACAGGCAUUGUGAUUUUACAGUGCAAAAUUCUCCAUUUUGUAAUAAUGCUACAUUUCACUGUGGGAUUGAUCAUCAGAGUAGCUAUUGUGUGAAGAGCAAGUGGAGCUUGAUCAUUGUUUAGCUGAAAUCAUAGGGAGAUUAUAUGAUGAUUCCUACAGUGUUAGAUGUAGGAACAGUAGACAAUCAUUGAUCAAAUAAGUCAGGUCAUUUUGAAAUACAAUAUAAGCUUAACAUUUUAAAUUUUCUGAUGGAGGGUCUAGGCCCGAAAUGUCAGCUUUUGUGCUCCUAAGAUGCUGCUUGGCCUGCUGUGUUCAUCAAGCUCCACACUUUGUUAUCUUAACAUUUUUAAGGUUGGGUUUGUGGUCGAUUGGCUGUAAGUCAUGAGCUCUCUCUCUCUCUCUCUCUCUCAAUAUUAAGGGAUACUGAUAAAUCCAGGCUAGAUGCAUUUAUUAGUAGCUUGAUAGAAAAUCUGUUAAUAUCAUGUAAACAAAAUGUUCUACCUGUAGAAUCUUGUCUCUUUUGACUCAUAUGAUCCCUUCAAACCUCAAAAUUAACAAUGUGAAAAAAACAACUUUUAUUUUGCGUGAUAAUCGUUCUUUCACAUGACGAGGUUUAUAUUCAGUGAGAUUCUCUGUUUUAGUUUGCUGUUCUGGCAGCUAACAUUAGUUGUGUGGUUGUCUCUUUUGAAGACGCAUUGUUUGCAUAUUGCUACAGGUCCAAAAUAUGAUCAUUCGUUUAAUUUUAAGCAAAUAUUGCUCCUGGCAACAAUUGAUGGCAAUACAAAUAUCAGAUGUUAGAAAAAUCAUGUUGGGCUCGUAAACAGAAGGUUUCACCUGAUCUCCAUGAAAAUAGUGAGUAACUCCUGGAACGGCCUUCCUUACAGAGUAGCUGACAAUUCAGACAGAUUAUCAGACAGUUAGCUGACACGAUUGGUGUUUGCAGGCUUUUUACUAGAUGAUCUUUUCUCAGCACAAUAUGUUCUGUGAUCUCGGGAUGAAUCAGUUUUAGUUGGAAAAUUCAAUUUUCCGCUCAUUGUUUGAUGUGUCAUAUGAAGUUUUGUUGAGAUUGCUGCAGCUGGAGCACAAGGCAAACAGCAUGCAAACACAAAUACAUUUUAUCCAAUAGAUUGGAUAUUUUAGAGACAAAGGGUUAUGUUAAUUUUUCUUUGUAAGUGUAAUCAGUUUGAAUCAUUGGGGAAUGUUAUAGAGAGGAGUGGAGUUCUAAUUAAUGAAGACAAUAUAAGUUAAUCAGUGGGAUUGCUGAAACCAGAACACUACACACGAAGAAAUAUGGAUUUCUGAAGAAGGGUCUAGGCCCAAAAAUGUCAGCCUUCCUGCUCUUCUGAUGCUGCUUGGCCUGCUGUGUUCAUCCAGCUCUGUACCUUGUUGCCUCAUGUUCUCCAGCAUCUACAGUUCCUACUAUCUCUGAAACAAUUUUAAACCCCUUUCUUGAAGUGUGUUGUCCAGAAAUGAAUGAAAUAUUCCAGCUAAGAUUGCUCUGUAGUAUUUAUGUGAAGUUAGCAUAAUUUUCUGGCCUUUCUACUCUAUGCACUUACUUAUGAAGUUAACCGCUUCAUUAAUUUGGCCUGUCUCUUUCAGGGAUUUGUAGGUAUAGCCAAAGGCAUCUCUCUUCUUGAAUCCCCAUUAAAAUUAUACUGUGAAAGAUUCUUAUCAGACUAAAAAUAUUGAUUGUUCAACAGAUAUUGCACAACAUGUAAUUAUCUUCAUAGUGAAAAUGUAAAAUCUAUCUUCAUAUUUUCUCAACUUCAAUCUCUGCAUUAUAUUUGAUUUUUGAGAAUUUCAAUGUCGUGAUGUUGAAAAUAAUUAUUUAACAUUUGCUGUUAUUGGAUGGCCAUUGUAACAGCUUUGCUCAUGAGAUAAGAUUUUUUUUACCUGAAGCUUUAGCUUAACAAGUUAAGUGCAUGAGAGCUUUAUGAACACGAAGGGAAAAUGACCCAGAGGUGCAUACACUUGUUCCACUGAAGAAGGACGUUCAGAUGGGCAUUUGAAUAUAAGCUUGAAUUAAUGUUAAUCAUUAAUGUAUGACUUUCUCUGAGUGAAACAUGAUGUAUUUCUUCUACAUAUAUGCAGAUCAAGUUUCAUACAUCUAAAACAAAGAACUGUAAAAGCUGAAGAUCUGAAACAAGAAAACCCAGAAAUUGCUGGAGAAACUCAAUAGGCCUGAAGAAAGGUCAUUGGAUUUGAAAUGAUUAUGCAGUUUUCUCCCCAUAGACGCCACCAGACCUGCUGAGUUUCUCCAGCAAUUUUUGUUUCUGUUUGUUUCAAGGUCUCAUGCAGAUCACCAAUGGUCCUUGCAGAGGGUUAUAAGACCAUAAGACAUAGGAGUGGAGGUAAGGCCAUUCAGCCCAUCGAGUCCACUCCGGCAUUUAAUCAUGGCUGAUGGGCAUUUCAACUCCACUCACCCACAUUCUCUCCGUAGCCCUUAAUUCCUUGUGAGAUCAAGAGUAGCAGUCCCAGAUCCCUUUGUACUUCAGCUUUAUGAAUUUUCUCACUGUUUAGAAAAUAGACCAUGCCUAUAUUCUUUUUUCCCAAAGUGCAAGACCUCACAUUUGUUCACUUUGAAUCUCAUCAGCCAUUUCUUGGACCACUCUCCUAAACUGUCUAAAUCUUUCUGCAGCCUCCCCAUGUCCUCAGUACUACCUGCCUGCCCACCUAUCUUCGUAUCAUCGGCAAACUUCACCAGAAUGCCACCAGUCCCUUCAUCCAGAUCAUUAAUAUAUAAAGUGAACAGCUGCGGCCUCAACACUGAACCCUAAGGGACACCACUUGUCACUGGUUGCCACUCCGAAAAAGAGCCUUUUAUCCCAACUCUCUGCCUUCUGUCAGAUAGCCAAUCCUCAAACCAUGCCAGUAGCUCACCUCGAACACUAUGGGCCCUCACCUUACUCAGCAGCCUCCCGUGAGGUACCUUAUAAAAGGCCUUUUGGAAGUCUAGAUAGAAAACAUCCACUGGGUUUCCCUGGUCUAACCUACUUGUUACCUCUUCAAAGAAUUCUAAUAGGUUUGUCAGGCACGACCUCCCCUUACUAAAUCCAUGCUGAUUUGUUCUAAUCUGACCCUGCACUUCCAAGAAUUUAAAAAUCACAUCCUUAACAAUGGAUUCUAGAAUUUUUCCAAAACAACUGAGGUUAGGCUAAUCGGCCUAUAAUUUUCCAUCUUUUGUCUGGAUCCUUUCUUAAACAACAGGGUUAUGACAGGAAUUUUCCAAUCAUCUGGGACUUUCCCAGACUCCUGUGACUUUUUGAAAGACCACAACCAAUGUCUCCAUUAUUUCCUCAGCCACCUCCCUCAGAACUCGAGGAUGUAGCCCAUCAUGGCCAGGAAAUUUAUCGUUUUUUAGACCUUUUAGCUUUUCUAGCACUUUCUCUUUUGAGAUGCCUACCAUACUCAACUCUGCCCCCUGACUCUCCUUAAUUGUUGGGAUACUACUCAUGUCUUCCACUGUGAAGACUGACGCAAAGUACUUAUUAAGUUCUUUGGCUAUGUCCUUAUCUCCCAUCACUAGCCUUCCAGCAUCAAUUUGGACCUACCCAAUGUCUACUUUUUCCUCUUGUUUGUUUGUUACGUAUUGAAAGAAACUUUUAUUAUCAUUUCUAAUAUUACUGGUUAGCCUACCUUCACAUUCGAUCCUCUCCUUCCCUACUUCUCUCUUUAUUAUCCUAUGUCUGUUUUUCUAGCCGUCCCAAUCUUCUGAUUUCCCAGUGUUCUUGGCCACUUUAUAGGCUCUCUCUUUUUCUCUGAUACAUUUCCUGACGUCCUUUGUCAGCCAUGGCUGUCUAACAGAUAAUCUUUCUUUUCUUUGGGAUGAACCUCUGUACUGUGUCCCCAAUUACACCCAGAAACUCCUGCCAUUGUUGCUCUACUGUCUUCCCCGCUAGGCGCUGCUUCCAGUCAAUUGUCGUCAGUUCCUCUCUCAUGCCCCUGUAAUUACCUUUAUUUGACUGUAACACCAUUACAUCCAAUUUUGCCUUCUCUCUUUCAAACUGCAGACUGAACUCUACCAUAUUAUGAUCUCUGCCUCCUAAAUGUUCCCUUAUUUUAAGAUCUUUUAUAAAGUCUGGUUCAUGAUAUGUAGCCAUUUUCCCGUCAAGUGCCAAAGACAACAAGUAUAAGGCAGAAUAAUUCAGAAUCUCUGAAUUCCAUGAAUACACGGAAUUAGUUUAGUAAGAACUUUUGGUGAUGUGAUAAAAUGUGAGAAUGAAAUUUGAGCUGGAUAAAGGCUUCAUCCAGUUAAUUAAUUUAUUCUUGAUUAUUUCCAUUUCUCCUAAUCAACUGUGAUUGCCCUGAAUUGUUUGUCUCAGUACUUUUAGUGGAAGUAGUCAGAUCAAAACUACACAGCUUCACUAGAUUUGCAUUCUAACAGAAUCUGAGCUGAUCUUCUUCUGACUUGUUCAUGGAUUGAACUCUUUCAUCUCUUACUGGUAUCAAAGAGAAAUGCUUGGUCUAUUGAAAUUGAUAUCCGUCAGUUUAUUUUGUAGAAUGCAUGUCUUCCUUCACACUCAAAUACAGAGCUUACUUGAGAAACUCAACUUUUCUGGCAGCAUCUGCAGAGCAAGAAAGGAAAUGUUUUGAGUGAAGUAUGACUCUUCUUCAGAACCUAUUCAGAAGUCUUCCUUCUUUUGUAAGCCCCUUCCAUACCGCUUCUCUUGGGUUCUGGUUCUGAUUCACAGUUCCUACUCUUGAUAGUGCUGUGUGCUGUCUAUUUGUAGCCUCAUCAUUAUAAUAUUCUGUUUUCCAGCUUUUAAGACCAUGCGCUUAAAAACAACUAAAGUAGCUAAAUAUAGCUGAGGCUAUAAUAUUCUCUCCACUUUAAUUACUUGU